GUGCGUUUGUCGCGCUUGUUCGUGAAAACUCACAGCUUAACUGUGGGCGUGCGGGCGAUACGGGCAGACUAGAGUACUGCAGGGGAGACUGGAAUUCCUGGUGUAGCGGUGGAAUGCGCAGAUAUCAGGAGGAACACCGGUGGCGAAGGCGGGUCUCUGGGCAGUAACUGACGCUGAGGAGCGAAAGCGUGGGGAGCGAACAGGAUUAGAUACCCUGGUAGUCCACGCCGUAAACGGUGGGUACUAGGUGUGGGUUUCCUUCCUUGGGAUCCGUGCCGUAGCUAACGCAUUAAGUACCCCGCCUGGGGAGUACGGCCGCAAGGCUAAAACUCAAAGGAAUUGACGGGGGCCCGCACAAGCGGCGGAGCAUGUGGAUUAAUUCGAUGCAACGCGAAGAACCU
rnacentral:rRNA from 1 species